rnacentral:rRNA from 1 species
GAUGAACGCUAGCGGCAGACCUAUCACAUGCAAGUCGAGAGGUAAGGAGAGCUUGCUCUCCCUAGACCGGCGUACGGGUGCGUAACACGUGUACAAUCUACCUUUUACUAAGGGAUAGCCCGAAGAAAUUUGGAUUAAUACCUUAUAGUAUUAUUUUAUGGCAUCAUUAAAUAAUUAAAGCUACGGUGGUAAAAGAUGAGUACGCGUCCCAUUAGCUAGUUGGAGUGGUAACGGCACACCAAGGCUACGAUGGGUAGGGGUUCUGAGAGGGAUGUCCCCCACACUGGUACUGAGACACGGACCAGACUCCUACGGGAGGCAGCAGUGAGGAAUAUUGGACAAUGGUCGGAAGACUGAUCCAGCCAUGCCGCGUGCAGGAUGACGGCCUUAUGGGUUGUAAACUGCUUUUAUACAGGAAGAAUAAGGUCUACGAGUAGAUUGAUGACGGUACUGUAUGAAUAAGCAUCGGCUAACUCCGUGCCAGCAGCCGCGGUAAUACGGAGGAUGCGAGCGUUAUCCGGAAUCAUUGGGUUUAAAGGGUCCGUAGGCGGGCGUAUAAGUCAGAGGUGAAAGCACUGAGCUCAACUGAGUAACUGCCUUUGAAACUGUAUGUCUUGAAUAGUUGUGAAGUAGCUGGAAUGUGUAGUGUAGCGGUGAAAUGCAUAGAUAUUACACAGAACACCGAUUGCGAAGGCAUGUUACUAACGACCGAUUGACGCUGAUGGACGAAAGCGUGGGGAGCGAACAGGAUUAGAUACCCUGGUAGUCCACGCUGUAAACGAUGGAUACUAGCUGUUUGGUUUUCGGACUGAGUGGCUAAGCGAAAGUGAUAAGUAUCCCACCUGGGGAGUACGCACGCAAGUGUGAAACUCAAAGGAAUUGACGGGGGCCCGCACAAGCGGUGGAGCAUGUGGUUUAAUUCGAUGAUACGCGAGGAACCUUACCAAGGUUUAAAUGGGGAACGACGUACCUAGAGAUAGGUAUUUCUUCGGACGUUUUUCAAGGUGCUGCAUGGUUGUCGUCAGCUCGUGCCGUGAGGUGUCAGGUUAAGUCCUAUAACGAGCGCAACCCCUGCUGUUAGUUGCUAGCGAGUCAAGUCGAGCACUCUAACGGGACUGCCGGUGCAAACCGUGAGGAAGGUGGGGAUGACGUCAAAUCAUCACGGCCCUUACA